AUCUAGGAAAUUUGAGGGUAACAGUAAACUGUAAGUGCAAUCUAUUUGCUUUCACUGGUAUUAAAUCCAUUAAAAUUUUUUUCAGAGGGGCUGUUCCACCAGGUGCAAGGUUUGAUCCUUUUGGACCACCUGGAACCCAUCCAGGACAGAGACCUGGGCCAGAUCCGGACCAUAUGAAACCACCUGAUUAUGAUGAUAUGUUUAUGUAGGUGUCAAACUCUGUUUAUGUGUAGAAGAUUCGGUAUUCAAGUUCUGUAACAAUGGAUCAUUGGUGGGGAUGCUUGGAACUGUCAGAAGGAAAAGCAAAUAUGUUGCUGUCUUAUUUCACAAGUGAAGAAAGUGUAGAUGAAUGAAUAACUUUAUAAAAGGUUUCUUUUUGUCAAUGCACAUUAUGAAUAAGACAUCUCAAGAGGGGAUAACUGACUGGUUUUCUUUUAUGUUAGUUAUUUUAAUACAGAGUACCAAUUUGAAGCCAUGAUAGCAUCUGCAAUGUGUUGGCAUAUAGCAAAUCAUCUCUGUCUCUAAAAACUGUUUCCUGAGACCAAUGUUAUAGAAUUUGGAACUUUUCCAACAAAUUGACUUAAAAUAGAGGAAUGUUGAAACAUUAGUUAUACAUUAAUCCUGAUAAAAAUUUGGUUUUUUGAUUAACUGUUGUUUAAACAUAAAAUCUUUAUUUGUCAGGGAAACUUAACACAUAUUUCUUGUGGGUUCUAACCGGUAUGGACUUUUGUAUUGCUUGUAAUACUCUGCUUUUGAAUAUCAAAUAAAAAGUGUAGUUUGUAGAAAAUUAUAAUGUUGAGUGCACAGACACAUGGGGUUUAGAGCUUAAAACGCCUUUAAAAUCCAAAUCAAAUGUAUAUUUGUCAAUCCCAGCACAUGUACUGAUCAUUAUAAUAUAUCAAAAAACUUAAUAUAAGCCGUUUUGAAAAAAAAAUAAAUUUCAACGUCUGAAAUAGUUGAAAUAUGAUUUUUUUCAAAACGACUAAUAUUAUUGAAAAACGGGACGUAUAAUGGGAACGCCCCUGGCGGUCGGGCGGUGUCCAAUUUUGUCCGGAGCAUAUCUCCUACAUGUAUGGAGGAAUUUUAAUGAAACUUCAUAGAAAUGUUCACCACUAUGAGGAGCAGUGUCGCGCAUAUGAACCAGGUCUCUAGGUCAAAGGUCAAGGUCACACUUAGAGCUCAUUGAAAAAUGCUUGUCCGGAGCAAAACUUCCACAUGUAUAGAGGGAUUUCAAUAUUACUUGGCACAAAUGUUCACCAUUGUGCGGCGGAGUGUCGCACGCAAG